rnacentral:lncRNA from 1 species
AAAGAGAAACGGCGGCAGGAAGUUACUCUUCGUUUAAGGCAUGCAGUUGAGUAUAACCAAAACAGAGCAGCUUGUAGAAUUAUGGAGGACUCAGGUCAUAUCUACGAAGAGCCAAUUGAGCAUAUCUACGAUGAGCCAGCUGAAGACCAGACAGAAGAAGGACCGUCAGCGAAACUCAUACGAGGUCCAGUCAGUCAGGAAGGCAACA